rnacentral:rRNA from 1 species
GAUAAACGCUGGCGGCGUGCUUAACACAUGCAAGUCGAACGAAGUUUUUCUUUCGGGAGGAACUUAGUGGCGGACGGGUGAGUAACGCGUGGGUAACCUGCCCUGUACAGGGGGACAACAGCUGGAAACGGCUGCUAAUACCGCAUAAGCCCUUAGCACUGCAUGGUGCAUAGGGAAAAGGAGCAAUCCGGUACAGGAUGGACCCGCGUCUGAUUAGCCAGUUGGCAGGGUAACGGCCUACCAAAGCGACGAUCAGUAGCCGAUCUGAGAGGAUGUACGGCCACAUUGGGACUGAGACACGGCCCAGACUCCUACGGGAGGCAGCAGUGGGGAAUAUUGCACAAUGGAGGAAACUCUGAUGCAGCGACGCCGCGUGAGUGAAGAAGUAUUUCGGUAUGUAAAGCUCUAUCAGCAGGAAAGAAAAUGACGGUACCUGAAGAAGAAGCACCGGCUAAAUACGUG